CAUCAUCACCCCUACAAACCAUACACUCACCUCAUACUUAAAACAACAACAUCAACAGUGUUCAUCAAUACAACACCCCUGCCAAGUUUCACUUUUUCAUCAAAUAUUCACGAACACCUCGCCGGAUAAGUCACCAGCCGUCGGUACCCUUCUCACCGGUCUUCCGCGAAGUUUCAUUCUGGGGAGAAGAAGGAGAAGGAGAAGAAGGAGAAGGAGUAGAUUAGAGAAAAGGUUGUUUGCUGCACGUUCUAAUUACCAAAGUUACAAUGGAAAAAUAUCAUUCUCAACUAUUACCUUUUUCUUUAAUCAUUAACACUUUUAUAUUUCUCCCACUCUUCUUAAGCCGAUUUCACGUUAUCGCAGAUGAAAUAUAUACAUCUUGUGCACCUUU